AAAAAAAAAAAGCAUAUGUGAUAUUUAGUAGAUAUUAUAAUCUUUUAAAAAUGGGUCUACUGUCAGAGCCUUCUUAUAAGUCCGGCAUAUCAGCAUAUUUUCCAGUUGGAGAGUAACGUGUAUCACCUGUCCAAGUGGUGCUUUUAAACCUGCAAACCAGUUCAGGCAGGCGGCUGCAUUGCGCAGACACUUGGGCUUUGUAAUUGAAAUGAAUGGGGCUGUUCCAGCAAGAUGCAGAAGACAGGUGAGGUGUUGUUACCCCAAGAACUGUGACCCUGGUAGUAUCACACAUGGAGCUCUUCAUUUUUGUCCCCUUUUGGGGGGCCAGUGCAGAAAGAGGAAAAUGUAGGGAACUGCCAUAGCUCUCCGGUAAUGACAUGCAAAUUCUGAACUUAGAGCCGGAUUAGAGGCCGGGCUGCACAUUUUCUGCACCAUCUGCUGGUUGGCGAGUAAAUGCUGAGCAAGGGAAAAAGUGAGCAGGCGGACAGAGCCACUCUGGCCCAGGGGGCCCAAAGUCACAGCGAUGUCUUUAUAUCUCCCAGGUCUGCGGGCACCACAGCAAAGAGCAUUUUGCCUGAGGGCACAGGGUAGCUGGCUGGAGAAUGUGGCACAUCUCCAUCUCUUAGUGCUGGCAUCUCAGAGCCUGGCAGAACAAAGCCAUUUCUGGCUUGCUCACAAAACAGUGAUACUUCUGGGGAGCUGUAGAGGGGUCGGCUG